rnacentral:tRNA from 1 species
AGAAACUUAGGAUAAUGUAUUAAACCAAGGGCCUUCAAAGCCCAAAACAGGGACCAAACCUCCCUAGUUUCUG